CCCCCCCCCCCCCGACAGCGUCAGAGGGAAGAGGAAGGGGCCCGGCCCAGGGCACGGAGCUGGGCUUGGCGUCCCAGAGGCCCCAGGUGUGAGGGAAGGCGCCUCCGCAGGUUUCCGUCGUGCCCCGGCACUCCCCGCCCUGAUGAAAGUGCAUCUGGGAAGGGGGAGAGCAGCAGAGGGAGGGCCAGCGGGCAGCGCUGAGCCUCGGGCAGGGGCCAACCUGCAGAGCAGAAAGGGCCGCCACCUGCGCCGUCCUCCAGAGGAUGUCGUCAUCCCAAGGGAUGCUUUGGACGCUCCAGGCUGACAGACCUCCCAGGGCCCUUCCUCGCCCGCCCUGGGAAGCUUCCCCCUGGGGGGCCUUUGCUGUCGGGAUCAGGGACUCCAUCCCCAGCCUCCAGACCUGCCCGCUCCCACAGCAUCACGGGGGGGACAAGAUGGCGCCCCUCCACUCGAUGGGAGACGAGCCUGUGGCUUUCCUUUGUCUGGGCAGAUCUUCCUUUGGAUUGGCAAAGAUGCCAAUGAAGUGGAGCGAUCGGAAUCCAUCAAGUCGGCCAAGGCCUACCUGGAGACCGACCCUUCGGGCAGAGACCAGAGGACGCCGGUGGUCAUCGUCAAGCAGGGCUACGAGCCUCCCACGUUCACCGGCUGGUUCCUGGGAUGGGACGCCCACAAAUGGUGAAGGCGGGUCACGGGAAGAAGAAUCCCUGCGACGGCCGUCCUGGGCUCCCCUUUGGAAGGAUGACCCGCUCGGCCGUGGAGUCACUUGUCUUCUGUUCCCGAGCCGGACUUCUCACUCACACCGAUGGCGGAAAGGACACCAGGGACACUCGGGCAGCAAACGGGGCUCACGGGGUUCACAGCAGAAGGGACCGCGGAGCUUUACAAAUGGGGAAACUGAGGCCCGUCCCAGGCUCCAAGGGGCCCAUGUGACAGUGAGGUGGCACACCAGGGUCUUGGAAGACCCUCUGUGGGCUCCUCCGUGCCAGCACCUUUGGGUCUGGUGGCGUCACUGGCUGACGCCGUGGCCCUCCAGAGCCUGCCCGGCCCAUCCCAAAGCCGCCAGGGGGCCUCCAUCCCCUCCAGCUCGCCUGGAAACCUUCUGCCAUAGUAUGGAAUGAUGCUGGGAAGACGCCGGCUCCCUCGCACUCGGCUCCACGGAUUCCUCUUCUCUGUCCAAUCGUGAUUUCUGUGUCCUUCAGCCAAACUCCUCGAAUGCCACUCCUUUGGGGGGCUUUUUAUAAACGGCUUCAGAUGCGUCUGAGUCACCACUUUUUAGGGGGGUCUGGGGGGGUUGGGGGGGCUUUUAUGAACUUGCAGCUACAUUUAGUCGUGUUUAGGCUUGGGGUGUUCGGAGAGGCAAACUGAGGGCCUACGAGGUGACCCCACAGCCGCUCAGCCUCACUUCCUCGUGCUGUAAAAUGUUUAACGCAAAAUCCCCCAAUAAAGAGACUAUUCAGUGCCUCGCCUGCUCGUCU
rnacentral:lncRNA from 1 species